rnacentral:rRNA from 1 species
AGCUCGUAGUUGAAUUUCUGAUUAUGGAUGUAGCGGUUUCCGUUACAUUUGUAGUCAUCCACAUGAGAACCUUUCUCGGCCUUCACUGGUCGGUUGGGGGAUCAUGUACUUUACUUUGAAAAAAUCAGAGUGUUUCAGGCAGGCGUUUGCAUGAAUACACAAGCAUGGAAUAAUGGAAUAGGACUAGGGUCCAUUUUAUUGGUUAUUGGACCAUAGUAAUGAUUAAUAGGGACAGUUGGGGGCAUUAGUAUUUAAUUGUCAGAGGUGAAAUUCUUGGAUUUAUUAAAGACUAACUUAUGCGAAAGCAUUUGCCAAGGAUGUUUUCAUUAAUCAAGAACGAAAGUUAGGGGAUCAAAGACGAUCAGAUACCGUCCUAGUCUUAACUAUAAACUAUACCGACUAGGAUUGGUUGGG